AUGAACGCUAGCGGCAGGCCUAAUACAUGCAAGUCGAGGGGUAAGGCUCUUUCGGGAGUACACGACCGGCGCACGGGUGCGUAACGCGUAUGCAACCUACCUUUAACUGGGGAAUAGCCCCGAGAAAUCGGGAUUAAUACCUCAUAACACUGCGAAGUGGCAUCACUUUGCAUUUAAAGCUCCGGCGGUUAAAGAUGGGCAUGCGUGACAUUAGCUAGUUGGUGGGGUAACGGCCCACCAAGGCUACGAUGUCUAGGGGUUCUGAGAGGAUGAUCCCCCACACUGGUACUGAGACACGGACCAGACUCCUACGGGAGGCAGCAGUAAGGAAUAUUGCGCAAUGGAGGCAACUCUGACGCAGCCAUGCCGCGUGCAGGAAGAAGGCCUUAUGGGUCGUAAACUGCUUUUAUUUAGGAAUAACCCCCUGCUCGUGAGCAGGGCUGAAGGUACUAAAAGAAUAAGCACCGGCUAACUCCGU
rnacentral:rRNA from 1 species